GCAGUCGAACGCAGUAGCAAUACUGAGUGGCGAACGGGUGAGUAUAAUGUAGGUAUCUGCCUUUUGGUUUGGAAUAACACGAGGAAACUUGUGCUAAUACCGGAUAAGCCUUCACAGGGAAAGUUUUAACGCCAAAAGAUGAGCCUGCACUUGAUUAGCUAGUUGGUAAGGUAAUGGCUUACCAAGGCUACGAUCAAUAGCUGUUCUUAGAGGAAGAUCAGCCACAUUGGGACUGAGACACGGCCCAAACUCCUACGGGAGGCAGCAGUGGGGAAUCUUGCACAAUGGGGGAAACCCUGAUGCAGCGAUGCCGCGUGAGUGAAGAAGGCCCUUGGGUUGUAAAGCUCUUUCGUCGGGGAAGAAAAUGACUGUACCCGAAUAAGAAGGUCCGGCUAACUUCGUGCCAGCAGCCGCGGUAAUACGAAGGGACCUAGCGUAGUUCGGAAUUACUGGGCUUAAAGAGCACGUAGGUGGUUAAGAAAGUUGGUGGUGAAAUCCCAAGGCUUAACCUUGGAACUGCCAUCAAAACUUUUUAACUAGAGUAUGAUUGAGGUAAGCGGAAUUUCUAGUGUAGAGGUGAAAUUCGUAGAUAUUAGAAAGAACACCAAUUGCGAAGGCAGCUUUCUGGAUCAUUACUGACACUGAGGUGCGAAAGCAUGGGUAGCGAAGAGGAUUAGAUACCCUCGUAGUCCAUGCCGUAAACGAUGUGUGCUAGACGUUGGGAAUUUAUUUUUCAGUGUCGCAGCAAAAGCGUUAAGCACACCGCCCGGGGAGUACGACCGCA
rnacentral:rRNA from 1 species